rnacentral:rRNA from 1 species
AUUGAACGCUGGCGGCAUGCUUUACACAUGCAAGUCGAACGGUAACAGGCCGCAAGGUGCUGACGAGUGGCGAACGGGUGAGUAAUGCAUCGGAACGUGCCCAGUCGUGGGGGAUAACUACUCGAAAGAGUAGCUAAUACCGCAUACGAUCUGUGGAUGAAAGCGGGGGACCGUAAGGCCUCGCGCGAGUGGAGCGGCCGCUGUCGGAUUAGGUAGUUGGUGGGGUAAAGGCUCACCAAGCCAACGAUCUGUAGCUGGUCUGAGAGGACGACCAGCCACACGGGGACUGAGACACGGCCCAGACUCCUACGGGAGGCAGCAGUGGGGAAUUUUGGACAAUGGGCGCAAGCCUGAUCCAGCAAUGCCGCGUGCAGGAAGAAGGCCUUCGGGUUGUAAACUGCUUUUGUACGGAACGAAACGGCUCUGGUUAAUACCCGGGGCUAAUGACGGUACCGUAAGAAUAAGCACCGGCUAACUACGUG